AAAGUUCGGUAACAAAGGUUUCCGUAGGUGAACCUGCGGAAGGAUCAUUACCCAGUCCUUGCCCAAAAGGGUAGACCUCCCACCCUUGUGUAUUAUUACUUUGUUGCUUUGGCGAGCUGCCUUCGGGCCUUGUAUGCUCGCCAGAGAAUACCAAAACUCUUUUUAUUAAUGUCGUCUGAGUACUAUAUAAUAGUUAAAACUUUCAACAACGGAUCUCUUGGUUCUGGCAUCGAUGAAGAACGCAGCGAAAUGCGAUAAGUAAUGGGAAUUGCAAAAUUCAGUGAAUCAUCGAAUCUUUGAACGCACAUUGCGCCCCUUGGUAUUCCGGGGGGCAUGCCUGUUCGAGCGUCAUUUCAACCCUCAAGCUUAACUUGGUAUUGAGUCUAUGUCAGUAAUGGCAGGCUCUAAAAUCAGUGGCGGCGCCGCUGGGUCCUGAACGUAGUAAUAUCUCUCGUUACAGGUUCUCGGUGUGCUUCUGCCAAAACCCAAAUUUUUCUAUGGUUGACCUCGGAUCAGGUAGGGAUACCCGCUGAACUUAAGCAUAUCAAUAA
rnacentral:rRNA from 1 species